rnacentral:rRNA from 1 species
GGUGGUGCAUGGCCGUUCUUAGUUGGUGGAGUGAUUUGUCUGGUUAAUUCCGAUAACGAACGAGACCUUAACCUGCUAACUAGAUUCUAUCAUCUUAUGAUUGAUAUCUUCUUAGAGGGACUAUGUAAAACAAAUACAUGGAAGUUUGAGGCAAUAACAGGUCAGUGAUGCCCUUAUAUGUCCUGGGCUGCACGCGUGCUACACUGAUGUAUACAACAAGUGCCUAACCAGACAUGGUAUGGCAAUCUCGAAUAUGCAUCGUGAUAGGGAUAGAUCUUUGCAAUUA